GACGAACGCUGGCGGCGUGCCUAAUACAUGCAAGUAGAACGCUGAAGAGAGGAGCUUACUCUUCUUGGAUGAGUUGCGAACGGGUGAGUAACGCGUAGGUAACCUGCCUUUUAGCGGGGGAUAACUAUUGGAAACGAUAGCUACUACCGCAUAACACUGGCUGCCACAUGUCAUUUAUUUGAAAGGGGCAAUUGCUCCACUACAAGAUGGACCUGCGUUGUAUUAGCUAGUAGGUGAGGUAAUGGCUCACCUAGGCGACGAUACAUAGCCGACCUGAGGGGGUGAUCGGCCACACCGGGACGUGGACACGGCCCAGACUCCUACGGGAGGCAGCAGUAGGGAAUCUUCGGCAAUGGGGGCAACCCUGACCGAGCAACGCCGCGUGAGGGAAGAAGGUUGUCGGAUCGGAAAGCUCUGUUGUAAGUCAAGAACGGGGGUGAGAGUGGAAAGUUCACACUGUGACGGUAGCUUACCAGAAAGCGACGGCUAACUACGUG
rnacentral:rRNA from 1 species